UGUAUCUUAGAACCAUUGAGCCUACAAAUAUUAUUGGAGUUGCAUCUGUGAGCAGGGCUCUGCUUUGAGUUCACGAGUGUUGCUAAGCAAUGGAAAGAGGGGGGAGGAGGAAAGAGUGCAAGAGAGAGUCUGACUUUAGGAGUACAAGAAUAAAUGGAAGAUAAUACUAAAGCCUCAUUUGCAGUGAAUGUUAAAAGUAUGAAAUAUUUCCUGUCUACCUUCUAAACUACUUGCAGCCUGCGCAAUGACUGCUAAAAUGUGGUUCUAUGUUUAAAUCAAUGCACAUCCUGCAAGUACAAAGUAGUGUUGCAUCCUGUAGCACUGACAAAAGCAGUGAGGCACCAGAACUGUUCACAUCUGCCUCUUGAAAGCUGCCUCCCAAUGGAUUUCACACAGGGGAUGUAACAGCCGUCUCUUGAGUCCAACAGAACUGACAAACUACCUAUUUAGUUUACCUAGGCUCCAUGCAGAGUGACUCCCAGAACCUCCUAAUCUUUACAACCAGCAUCUCUUUUGAAAAGGUGCAGAGAGUUUGUUUCCAUAUGUUCAUGAUUCCUCCAUACUGCUGUUCUUACCAACUAGUAAAUGAAUGCCUCCAGCUAGCAGUAACAUUUCUAUCAAUGUAACAGCCCAGCCCACAGGGAUCUAAUUUACUGAAACUGGUUAAGUGCUACACAAACAUCAUCUAGAGAGAUUAAUUGGCUGUUAAAGUUUGAUUGCUUUGCAAUCCCUUGGUGAUGGUUUGAAAAUGAAAAAGUGAUCUUUUGUCAUGAUGUAAAUACCUUGAGGUAUAGCAUAUGCAUGGGCUUUGUGUACAUUUUCUAAACACAGCAAGUCUUCUGUGGGGAGGAAGCCAUGACCUAUUUAUUUAGACUGAAAUUUAGUUAGUUAUAUUCAUUAUGGAUUACAUUUUCCUGCAGUUUAUUUAGGAGUAAAGUCUUCCCAGGCUGCAAUUAAUCCAAAUUAAAAUACAUUUAUGCUGAUCAUUAAAACAAUUUGUUGCAGACAAGUUUCCAUUUGAUCACUUCCCAACGUCGGCAGUCAAGAUAACUGCCAAUUAUCCCUCCUAAUAAAUACUUUAAAACAGGUACACCAACUCUUGGACGCUUUCCACUCCAUGCAGGCUCCUUGAUAUUAUUUGUGGUAAUCCAAGUGCUAGGGAGGAGAGGGAGGAUUUGUAGCUGCUUAUUGGACUAUUCUGCCCUUCCUUUCCACCCCGAAAUCCAUCGCCAGUCUGUAGAUAGGUGGCAUGUUCUGGCCCUUGCCAGUCUGCGCCCUGAAACAUACGAGGAAAGCCUAGUGUAGGAGCUGUCUAGGACUAUUCCCUUCCUGAUCUGAGCACAGACCUGGGAAGAAUAGCUUCUCAAACGAUACUAUAGUAUCUCCCACUUGAGCAGAAAGCAUAAGAUUGGACUUCUCAGGACUGCAUCUCACUAUGUAGCUCUACGAAAGAGAGGCCUUCCCCACCCCUUUAACUGAAGUAAAAAUCAACAUCUUAUAUUGAUUAUAUUUCAGUACGGUGGAACUGAAAGGUAUUAAACAACUUUUGCUUAUAUAUUCUCUCUUUUUUUCUUUUUUAAGAGUGACAAAAGACCAGCAAAUUAGAAUACUACAAUAUGUAACCAGCCCUGUCUGCCCGCUACAACCACCAGAGUUAAUAAUAUGCCAGGCUCGGUUGGGACCACAGGAUCCAUGAGAUUAAAGAGUGGAAAUACUGGAAGAAAUUAAUACAGGGCACGAAAAGAUCUAUUUAGAAGAAAAUAUUCACAGGCUUUUGUGAUGUGUUGGGUUUUUUUUUUGUUUAAUUCCCUCAAGAGAUUAAACAACACUUGUUCCCCACUGUAAUGGGGAAAAUCCAGUCUGAUUUCCAUUCAGCUAUCACAAAUGCAAAUUACUGAUUUCAGUGAAUUGAGAGAGACUAAAGGGAGUCCUCCAUUGGCUGACCACAGGGAUCAUUUUCUCCUAACACUUUGGGUUUCAAGUCCAAAGUGAAGUAUACUCUUAUCCCUCCUCCCCCCCGCCCCCACCACACACACACUUGGGCAGUCCCCACCCUAGUCAAGAAAGAGUUUGACCUUCUCCAGGUGCAAUCAACCUCAACCCAGUUUGGUUUGUCAAGCCUGAAGAUGGGUGGGUCCUUAAAAGGGAGGAUCCCUGCGCAGAGCAGGGUAGCACUCUGAAGGAGUAGGACUGCAACUUAGAGUUCCCUGGCCUCUGGAAGCUGGGGUUGCUGACCAGGGCAUCACUUGAGAGCCUUGACCUCUCACACCCCCUGAGAAAGGAGGAGGCUGGUACUUUUCCUUCCACCCCCCGCCUUUGGUUUCCCAAAGGCCUAGGACUCUGCUUUUUGUGGGUUAUAGAAGCGUACUGACUUUUUGUUGGACUACUUUAACUUCCCCCUGCGAGACUGCUGCUACCCUGAACAGCACAGCUGGUUGGCUGUGCCGUAGACUCAAAUAGGAGCAGCACCCACCCUCUCUCCAAGGAGGCACUAGAGAGCUAUAGCCUAAUAUACCUCCUUCCAGUUAACUCUAGCAACUCCUUUGGUGGGAUACCAGGGACUGAGAAACAAGAAUAAGGGAUACAGUCUCUUGCCAAAGAACUUGCUGGUACAGCAACUAUAUAUUAAGGUGGAAAUUUCUUCCAAUAAUCCAUCAAUUUUAUUUUCCAGAACAGCAAAUGAGGAAUUCAUAUAAAACAGAAAUAGUUAUAAAAAUAUGGCCAGCAUAACACAUCCCCCAAUGUUGCAAGAAGAAAUGGGGAUUGAAGGCUUUUUGAAGCUUUUAAUCAGACUUUUAAAAAUAUAUAUAUAUAUA